ensembl:misc_RNA Y_RNA Y RNA
GGCUGGUCGGAAGGUAAUGAAUUAUCUCACUUGAUUGUUCACAGUCAGUUAAAGAUUGAACUCCUUGUUCUACUACUUUCCCCCCUCCUCACUACUGCACCUGACUAGUCUUAA